AAAUUGUUUUUUUUUUUUAAAUUCUUUUCUUUCUUUUUUCUCUGAAGCCAUAUCUGAGUUCGGCCACAAGGCCGUUGUUGCUCCGCCGUGGCCAACGGUCAUCAACGACGGCGACCAUCGCCUCCGAUGGCUGGAGUUACAAAAAAUAAGCUUUUCCAGCCUUUUUGAUCCCCCAAUACCCAGAUCUGAAGGCGAUGCCUUCUAAACUCGAAAAAAAAUCCAAAAAACUUUUAGCCUUUUCUCUUUUUCUGAAUGCACACCCCUCGUCGAAGCCCAGGUGGAACCCUUGUGGGUUUUGAGGCUUUCGGGGUCGGAGAAGACCUUUGACGACGGCAGGAAGUGAAAUGACACAGGUGCUCGUGGUAAGGUCAACAAUGCUAAGGAGCCACGCCUUGCCAUUUCGGUGAAAGGAAGGGGAGAGACCUCGGGUUGCGCAUCUGCUAACGUGGCGAAGGAGUGGCACCGAAGCUUUCAAAGGUGAAACUAGGGAUUCGGUUAGUUUUUAGGGUUUUGGGCUUGGGUUGGUGUAGUAUUGGGCUUUAGGAUUUUGGGUUAGGUGAUGUAUUUGGGGCUUGACUUGGGCUUGUAAAAUGAACUCUUAAUGGACUUGUUUAUUUUUUAGUUUAUCUGCUUUUUGUCUAUUUUUGUCUGGGCUGAAGAAAAUUGGUCUAUUACACUAUCAUUUUUGAAAAGCCAAA